rnacentral:rRNA from 1 species
AUGUCCUGCCGCCGGGAGGAGGACGCUCGAGAGGAGCGCCCGUUCGUCCGGGACAUGGGCCACGCAGCUUGCUCCACCCCUGCCGCAGGCCUCGGCGUGUCAAGCACAGCAUCAACAGCCCAUGGACAAGCUGCCAUUGCGAAUGCGAAGUCAAAAGACCCAGGAUGGAAAUAUUGCAUUUGCCCGGAUGAAAACAAGAAGAAUUCACUUAGGUGCAUCUAUUGUAAUAAUCUGUACACCAAUGGUAUUACUCGGAUCAAGUUCCACCUUGGAAACAUUCCGAAUUCCAAUGUUCUACCUUGCACAAAAGUGCCUGCUGAUGUAAGGGAUGAAAUUGUUGAGUAUUUGACAAGGAAGGGUGAGAAAAACGCAAUGAAGGUUACAGAGCAGAAGAGAAGGAGAUGUGAAGUGGACUUGAGCCACUCAGAGGGGGAAGGUGCUAGUGACUCAGAUGACUCAUAUUAG